rnacentral:tRNA from 1 species
GCCCAGGUGCUGAAACUGGUAGACAGGCAUGGUUGAGGGCCAUGUGUUUUUUAAACGUGCGGGUUCGAUUCCCGCUCUGGGCA